CAGAGAGGUUUUACCAGUUAACAAAGAGAGCUAUGAUAAGGCAGCAUAAUUUUUCAGGAAGCAGAUGGCUCCAAAGAGGAUCCAGGAAGAAACUAGUGCCUAAAUCCCUUUAACAUUUUUGUUUGAAUAUUUAUGCUCAGAAGAAGGUAGUGCAACCCCAUGGCAGUCUAGACCAAAGAAUAUAUGACUUAUCUCUAGGAAAUAAUAGGUUUUUCAUUAUCUGCUACUAUGGCUACAUAUAUGCAGGCUACAUAUUUAUAUAGACAGAGCAGAGGAGGGGGCCCUUAUAUUUUCUAAUUGUAAACAUUCAUGCUUAUCAGGAUGGUGUUUCCAUGGCUCACUUCUCUUUGCUCCAAAAGAGGACCCUUACUAGGAUGGCUAAUUUGUCAGCAGAAUUGAGAAAUGUGAGAUAAAGACAGACAAAAUUUAUCAAAAAUAUAUUCCUAGUGGCACAGAAGUUCUGGAGGGGUGGUAUAUUCUACAUACCACUCAGGGAUUGAGACUUAGCCAAUUUUAUAUGAUCUGUCUACAACUGGAUAAGUAGUAAUUUCUUCAGGAAGUGGUCUUUGGCAUUAAAGUUGGAGUUAACACCUGCUUAUAGAAACCAACUUAAAAACAAAUAAACUAAUAAAAACGAAAACCUUGGGGUUGAAGAAGUUUUUCUCAAACUUGAAGGGACACCUAUGACAGGUGUUAAGUUGUUAAAAUGUUUAUCCAUGUCUCCAGAUUUCUGCAUGAAAUACCCAAAAGUAACAGUAAAUUAUUCAAUAGAGACAGUGGUGUAACUUCUAAAGCUUAUGCUGGAUAUGAUGCAGUAUCAAAACUACAGAUAUCUUCAGAAGUUUAGACAUCCAUCAAAAGACUUUAAAAUGGGUUUGAACAAAAUUAUAGGAUUCUUUUAAGAAUGGUCCAUCUCUAUGAAAGAGUUUAAGGGGAACAAUGGGACCAUUGCCCUAUAAGGUUAUGCAAGGCAUAUUACUGUCUCAGUGGGUGGCUAUGUACUUGCAAGAAAUUGAGCAAACAUUUAUAACAUAGAUUUGCAUAUUAAAUUAUUGAAUACCCACUGCAAAGCAGGAGAAACAUUCAAGAUGUGCAUGUUGGUGCUGGAAAUGUUACUGAGCCCAAGUUCAUAUUGCUUGCUGCACAACAGGCCAAUAAAUCCAGAGGCUAGUUGCUGGGGCAAAGGACAGCGACAUUAUUUGGAAAGCCAGCAGACCAAGAUGUGGUGGAUUGGUAUCCCAAAGAACCAUCUUCCUUGACUUAGAAUUCAGACUUCUUUUAUACUAAAAGGGGAGGGGAUGAAGUCUGGGUUCCAGUCAGACCCCAGAGGGGAUGUGUUAAUUUCUUCCUUCCUGCAGCCAUUCAUAGGCAUGAUCAAGAUGUUUCCUGUGAGCUAAACAAAGGUAUUUUAGUUUAAUGCUUGUUACAUGGGAGGAAGAGUUCUCAGAGAUGGCCCUUUAUGCAUAAUUUAGAUUUAUAGGCAACAUAUCUUCAGUGAUUAAUUUGUAGCAAAAGCAAUAGAAUACAAAAGUUAAAGUAAAAGAAACAGAUCCAGUAUGGAGUGAGAUUUAUUCUUCUCUAUUACAGAGACAAUGAAACUGCAAGUAGGAGAGAGAAGGGGACUGUAAUCAAGAGCAGCAUAUCAGACCCCUGCCUCCUUCCUACCCCUCUCCUAGAGAAAAUGUCAACAGGGACUGUCCCUUGUUUGAUGCAAUGGGAAAAUAUACAGUUCUUGCAAGCACAUAGCCACCCACUGAGACACUGAUACAAGCUUUGAAUCAGCUACAGGGCAAUGUUUCCAACAUUCCCCUUAAACUCCUUCAUAGAGAUGGACUAUUCUUAUUGCCAUUGUUUCCACUGAAAAUAGAUCUGGUCCUCAAUCUUAUGGGAGGGUAGGCAGAAGGUGGGAGCUUCAUUCUGAGAGGACCCUCCUCUACUAAAUAGUUACAUGAGGAGGGGUCAACAAAAGCAAUGGAUACUAUUGUUCUACUUUUAAAGGGGUAAGUGAGUCAGAAGAGGAUUUUUAAACUAAAGGGAGACAGAAGAAAGAAGAAAACUAACUGGGCAAAGAAGAUAACCUAAAAUGCCUGCUCCUAUGUGUGACUUGGUUUUAUGAUCUUGUUGGUUGCGAUUCACAGAUAAAUGGGAUCUUUGUCAGGGCCAGGUCCAGAAGGAUGACUUUCAACUUGAAAAGUCUUUGAUUCUAGCUUAAAAUUUAAUAUUACAGAAAUUUCCAAUGGUCAUAUCAAGGUGCAUUGUUCAAUUUAAGAGUACACCUUUUAAUAACGUGAAUAAUUCAGGGGCAUAUAUAUGGUGUAUAUACCAGCAGUCUUAUUUGCUUUCUAGUGCUCUUGAUUUAUGUAGGUUUAUAGUUUUCAAAGAAUUUAGGCAUUAUGGUCUUGUUGCUUUGUGAUAAUUAAAACCUUAUAACUUUGCCCUACUGGUUACUGGUUUUACUACUAGAGUUGGAUUUCGAUAAUCACACUCCUACCUUCAAAACGCACAGCCCAUUGCCUCAGGUGAUAAAGUUCCUACUGGAGCAGAAGGGAAUAUCACCCACCAGACAAGAUCCUUGGAUCUCAGGAAGCAUAGUCUUUGUGAAAGGACUCCCUCUCACCCAGAAGAGCAGAGAAUAACUUGAAGGCACAUGCCAUUUUGGAAUAAAGAGUGUAGCCCUAUGCCUUAGUUAAGUCAGUGCUGUUUGUGGUCACAGAUAAAGCCCCAAAUGUCAGUAGUCUAAAACAGAUGAAACUCAUUUAUUUUUUAAGGAGUCCAAAAUUCAUAGUUAUGUAUUCAUAUUGGUUCAUACCCGAUCAUAAGAAUCAACUAGUAAAUUUUCAGGAAUUGUACAAGCUAUUUUUUAAUCAGCUAUUAUUAAAUAAUAAAUUAUGCACUUAAAAUUAAAUAAAUUAGUAUGUUAAAAACAAAGGUAAUAAUCAAAAUCAUGCCACACCGUCACUUUACUUUUAUCUAUGUUCUACAAGUUAUUAACUUCUCUUAUAUCAAUAUGACAGAAAUUCUAUCAGAUAUUGAGGGAUGCACAUUUCAGCCUAACUCUUCCUAACUCUGCAUUUAGUACUGAGACCUGUAGGUUCAAUCUGAACAGCAUCUGAGGUAAGUUAUUGAAGGAUGCGUAUUUACCAAGUAUUUUGCCACCACAUUACAUGAGCCUUAAUCUUUCCAUCCUCCAGUAUCAACUCCUGUGUAAUUUGCACCCCAAUGAUUAAGUCAGUAUUAUAACUGAGGUUUCAUUUAGCAAUACCAUAUUCAUUCUGGUUUCCAUAUUACUUAGAAAAACAUCAACUAUAGGAAUACGUAAACCUCAAAAUACGUAAACCUCAAAACAUCAGUGAAUUAAUAAAUUAGAACUUUAAUUCUUGCUCACAUUAAUUCAUAAAUGGGUAUUGAUAAUAAAUGAACUCUUCUCUUCCAAAUGACUCCUUUCAUCUUGAGCAUCAACCAUUUUUGAGACUUGUUUUCCAAAAUUUCCCCCAGGAUCAUUUUCCACUUAUCCAUCAGAGUGGGAAAAAAAGUAAAGACGAUUACAUGCAAAGACUCUAUGGACCUGGCUGAAGCAUGUCAUAUGUCACUUUUGCUAUCUUUAUAUUGACUAGAACUCAGUUCCAUAUCAGAUCUAGCUUCAGGAAUGCUGAGAAACAGAGAUUAUUAGUGUGCAUAAUUAGAGUAGAAUGCUGCACAUUCUCUACACCUUUAAGUGUGUAAAUACAGAGUCACACAUAGUUAUUCUGUUAUCUUCAAUUUUUUGACCAAUAUCUCAUCUGAUACACUCAAGCCAAUUCAAAUAGGCAUGGGUGGCAUAAAUACUGAAGAAAUGGAGCCUAAAGGCAUGAAGUGACUAGCAACAAAAUUAGCAGAAGCAGAAGUGCCUUGAUUGGGUUCAGAAACAUAUUUGAGGUGUUCUCUUAUCUCUUGUGGCAUAGCGCUUUAAGGAUCCCUCUUUUUCACUGCAGCAGCUUGAAUUGCUGCUGUGGUGCAAGUUAGGUCCCAGGCCUGGGAAAUGCCACUUGCCCCAGGCAGGAGGGAAAAAAACAAACAAACAAAAAACCCCCGCAGGAAACUCAUUUGGUUUAAGCUCUGCCUUGGUUUACUUCUCUCUCCUUCCUCCUCACCUAAGGAUGAAGUAUUGAAGUUUAGCCUAUCUCUAGACUUCAACAGCUAUGCUGGAAUGAUGGCUAUUGGGUAUUGUCUCAGAUCAAAAUUCCCCAACCUGGCUCUGAACUCUUCAAGACCCCUCUUCAAGCAGGAGAUGCUCUCAGCAUCCCCAAGCAGUGUGGGGAAAAAUCAGUAGGAAAGGAUAAUAUAAAUGUAACUCUUCUUCCAAAUCAUAAAUUUAAACAUUUUUGAAAAUGACCAUCCUAUCAUAAUCUAUAUUUUGCACUAAGAAGUUAUAUCCCUUUACCUGUCCCUUAUGACAUGAGUCCAAUGCCUGAUGGAAAGUAAAUACUGUCCUGAAUACCUUUGGAAAUUAUGGUGCAUAGAAAUUGAAUUUCCCAAAUGUGCUCCGAGAAGUAGAUUAGGAUUUCUCCCCAUCCUGAGAUAUGCAAGCUCCUUUACUUCUUUUACUCUCAUUAUAGUUGCCCAUGAAAAGCCAUCGCUCUUUCUCUUCAUGGGAUUAUUAUUAUUAUUUAAUAAUUAAACCCCUUUUCCAUUGUAUUUGCUACUGAAAUUGUCUCUUUAACACUAUCUCUGCACCAUCAUUCCCAAUAAAGAAUUCUAUUCUAACUCAGUUAAAUCAGCCUCUGCUAGGUUUGUAUUUGAAUCGCUGAUUCUCUGUCAUAAGUACUUCAAAUAAUUCCAGUUGCCACAGAUGUGAAUAUGCAUUUAAUAGUUCAUUGGUUUUUACCACUAUUAGUUAAUCAUAAUUUUAACUAAACAGUUCCCUCUUACUUAUAAAGUACAAGAAAAGAUUUUUUCUUGAUCUUUAGUAAUAUCAACAUAAGCAUAUUUGAUUAUGAAUAACAGUAUAUUUAAAGAUAGAGAUGACUUCCUGAUUUAAUGCUUGAUUCAAUUUCCUCUCUAGACCCAGGAGGGAGUUAUUUAAGAGAUCCCAAUUAGGAAUGAUUUGAAUUAAUUGGAGCAACAUAAUGUACACACUGCAUUGCAUUCCCAAUUAAGUUGGAAAGAGAUAGAAGAUAUUCUGCUGACAGCAUGUCUUUAUUGGACUAAUACUCAUUAUUUACGUAUCAUCAAUUCUUUAAUGUCAAGUAUUUUGUUUCUGAUGAACACAAAUAUGCAUUAUUAAGAAAUAAAAAUACCAAUAAAUAAUAGAUUGAUUUAGUAAAUAGGAAUGAGAUUUGAGCCUAUAGCAUAAAUUGAUGAAUUCUCAAAUACCCAAAGUUUCACCUUGAUGUGUUAAAUGAAUUUAAUGUCAAUACUAUGUAUGAAUUGACAGUCCCUCUGGAGCCCACUCUGACCAAAGAUAAAACCAAGUUUAUUGGACCUUAAUUGCUCUCUCUUUGAUACUGAAGUUAAAAUGUAUCAUGGAGCAUGUAGAGAUUCUUACUAUGUUUAGAAUAUUCAUAAAAUAAAACUAUUAUCACUUAAAAAUCUUUAAUACUGACAUUUUAGAAUAGUGGGUAGUUUUUAGUAAUAUAAUCAUUUAUUUUACAUUUUGAAAUAUUCAAACUUUUUAGUUUUACAAGAGUUUUAAAUUGUGUUUAGAAUCAUAUUUGCAAUAUAAUUUUUCCUCCGAUAUUUAAUGUCCUGCAAACAUAUGACUUGAAUUUGCAAUGCACAGACCUAAUUGUUUCAAAUCCCAGAUUUGCUAAAUUAUACCUAUGUGCCAUUGUAUAGGUCAUUUUAUCUGUGUGAUUCUCAUUUUGUUCAUGUGUAAAGUUAAUAUCGUUGUCCAAGUGAUAGUUGUUGGACAAGAGAUUCAGAAAGAGAGGGAGACAAAGGAGGAAGAAAGAGAGAGAAGGAAUUAUUGUUUUGUUUUAGAUCGAAAUGUAUUCAGGGGAUAUUCUUUGGGCAAAAGUAAAUCCCCAUAUAUUUGUUGUAGAACACUAAUAAGAUACUGCGGUGUUAAAGAACAAUUUUAAUCAAAUAAGUUAAUUUGGUAAUAUAUGCCUACUGCAUGUACAUAGAAUUAGACUAAUCCAUCUUCCACAUAACUUGACUGAAGUCAAUUCCAAGUUCUAGCUGAUAACUACAAAAUGUUAAUUCAAUGAAUUGAAAAACUCACUUUAAAAGAAAUCAAUUUGUGUUUUUUUUUCAAAAAUAUAUCUUGCAAGCCGAAUUAUUGGUUUCAUUGAUUCUUCCUAUCAAUUCACCUGUUGACCAAUGGUUGUCAGUUAAGACCAAAACUUAAUUGAAGCUGAGUACAAAGUCUUAUUUCUAAGAACAAAUGAAGCUAUUAUAAUUUCAUUACAAGUAGUUUUGUGAGGCAAGUACCCCAACUAAUGAAGUCUAAUUUCCCACAGAAUUUAAAAAAAAAAAAAAAAGCAAUAUCGCUGAUGUUAGGUAAAGAGAUUCUGAAUAUUGGAGUUACUGUUGUGGCUCAGAAGAAACGAAUCUGACUAGUAUCCAUGAGGACACAGGUUCGAUACCUGGCCUUGCUCAGUGGGUUAAGGAUCCAGCAUUGCCUUGAGCUGUGGUGCAGGUCACAGAUGCUGCGACAGUUCCCAUUUGACCUGUAGCCUGGGAACCUCCAUAUGCCAUCGAUGUGGAC
rnacentral:lncRNA from 1 species